GGACAAAGAGAGUAUAAGUUUCCGUGUCCAACUUUUCGUCUUAUUUAAAAUUUUUCUAUAAUUAGCAUAUUUAUUGUUAUUAGAUGAUAAAAUAUGAGUAAUACUUUAUGCAUGACUUCUGUUUUUAAUUUUUUUUUAAAAAUAAAACGAACUAUUAAAAUUACUCACGUAAAUACGCAUGGAUA
rnacentral:pre_miRNA from 1 species